rnacentral:rRNA from 1 species
CCUACGGGUGGCAGCCGUGGGGAAUUUUGCACAAUGGGGGAAACCCUGAUGCAGCAACGCCGCGUGAAGGAGGACGGUUUUCGGAUUGUACACUUCUGUUCUUAGUGAAGAAUGAUGCCUGUAGCUAAGGAGCAAUCCCCGGCUAACUACGUGCCAGAAGCCGCGGUAAUACGUAGGUGGAAAGCGUUGUCCGGAAUUACUGGGUGUAAAGGAUGCGCAGGCCGGAAGCCAAGUCAGCUGGUAAAACUACGGGCUUAACUUGUAGACUGCAGUUGAAACUGGUUUUCUUGAGUGAAGUAGAGGUUGGCGGAAUUCCGAGUGUAGCGGUGAAAUGCGGAGAUAUUCGGAGGAACACCGGUGGCGAAGGCGGCCAACUGGGCUUUAACUGACGCUGAGGCUCGAAAGUGUGGGGAGCAAACAGGAUUAGAUACCCGGGUAGUC